GACGAACGCUGGCGGCGUGCUUAACACAUGCAAGUCGAACGGAAAGGCCCUGCUUGCAGGGUGCUCGAGUGGCGAACGGGUGAGUAACACGUGGGUGAUCUGCCCCUUACUUUGGGAUAAGCCUGGGAAACUGGGUCUAAUACUGGAUAGGACCAUGCUGUAGGUGGUGUGGUGGAAAGAUUAGUUUCGGUAAGGGAUGAGCUCGCGGCCUAUCAGCUUGUUGGUGGGGUAAUGGCCUACCAAGGCGUCGACGGGUAGCCGGCCUGAGAGGGUGGACGGCCACAUUGGGACUGAGAUACGGCCCAGACUCCUACGGGAGGCAGCAGUGGGGAAUAUUGCACAAUGGGCGCAAGCCUGAUGCAGCGACGCCGCGUGGGGGAUGACUGCCUUCGGGUUGUAAACUCCUUUCAGCCAUGACGAAGCCCUUGUGGUGACGGUAGUGGUAGAAGAAGCACCGGCUAACUACGUG
rnacentral:rRNA from 1 species